AUAUAUCUAUCUAUCUAUAUAUAUAUUCUUCUGUGUAGCCGAGCCAGAAAAUUCCAGAGAGAUAUAAUAACAAAUAUAUAAAAAAACUGAAUCUUGUUGUUGAAAAAGCAUCCCAAAAACUUGUUUCUCAAUUCUCUCUUCUGCCCCCUUUUCUUACCAAUCUCCGGAUUAUAAAUUCGCAUCUUCUCGCCUGCUAAUCAUCCAAUUCGAUCCAAAAGCUUUCUUCCUUUGUUUCAUAUUCGAGGCUGUAUUGUGUCUUCUUCGAGGCAUAAAAAAUCUCUAUGGGAGAAGCACCAGCUUUUUUUGUGAAUCAUCUGGAGAAUGGUUACACCAAUGGCUUUGGUGUC